AGCAGCCGCGGUAAUUCCAGCUCCAAUAGCGUAUAUUAAAGUUGUUGCAGUUAAAAGCUCGUAGUUGAAUUUCGGGGUCAGCAGGUCGGUCGUGCCAAUGGUAUGCACUGGCCUUGCUGAUUCCUCCCUCUUGAUGAGCCGUAAUGCCAUUAGUUUGGUGUUGCGGGGAAUCAGGACUGUUACUUUGAAAAAUUGAGUGUUUAAAGCAGGCAAGCGCUUGAAUACAUUAGCAUGGAAUAAUGAAAUAGGGCGUUUGAUCCUAUUUUGUUGGUUUCUAGGAUUGACGUAAUGAUUAAUAGGGAUAGUUGGGGGCAUUAGUAUUCAAUUGUCAGAGGUGAAAUUCUUGGAUUUAUUGAAGACUAACUACUGCGAAAGCAUUUGUCAAGGAUGUUUUCAUUA
rnacentral:rRNA from 1 species